GACUUUUCUAUGCAUGUAGGUGUGUAUCUCUAUGGAGGCCGUCUGCGAAGUGUGGUGUGUGUAGCAAUGUAGGUGUGUAUGUAUACUAGAAUAAGAUCCGAUUCUUCCUUGUCCUCUGACUUGGCCAAGUCCGUGCGCGCCCUGAAUACAAUAAGAAUUUUUUUUUUUUUAGAUAGUGUCACACUACACUGUCUAAAUCCAUUUUAGACGGACUCUAUAAAAUUAAAUGACAGACCCUUGGAAAAUAAAACAAAUAGAUAGACCCCCCCAUCCCUCUACAUACCUCGACACCCCGUCACCCCACCGUCACCCCUUUCACAGUACCAGCAUAGUACUCACAUAGCACUACCACAUCUGUCAGCACACAUUCUCGCCAAGUACGCAUGCACAGCGACCGGGAUCGAUCCGAUUCGCUCCUCUUCCAGCCAGGCUCCACACGAUUCGUGUGCAUACAAAAAGCACCAGCACAGCCUCGUUCCUCGUGCAGUGAGUGGGUGUGGGUGUGUCCCCUCCCACCCUAGUUGCAUGGCACAGCAUACCAACAUGCCUUUGCACCACCACCUUGCAACACGAGAGAGACCAUACAGCAUAUAACACACAGCACAGCACAGCAUAACAUAACACACAACACAACACAAUACAGCACAGCAUAACAUAACACACAACACAACACAAUACAACACAGCAUAACAUAACACAACACUCAACACAACACACAGCACAGCAUAACAUAACACACAACACAACACAAUACAGCACAGCAUAACACAACACAACAACACAACACAACACAACUCGGAUCCCACACUACACUCUAUCAACACAGCGACAGGACCCGG
rnacentral:misc_RNA from 1 species